UACGUAGGGUGCGAGCGUUGCCCGGAUUUAUUGGGCGUAAAGAGCUCGUAGGCGGUUUGUCGCGUCGGAUGUGAAAACCCAGGGCUCAACCCUGGGCCUGCAUUCGAUACGGGCAGACUAGAGUAUGGCAGGGGAGACUGGAAUUCCUGGUGUAGCGGUGAAAUGCGCAGAUAUCAGGAGGAACACCGGUGGCGAAGGCGGGUCUCUGGGCCAAAACUGACGCUGAGGAGCGAAAGCGUGGGGAGCGAACAGG
rnacentral:rRNA from 1 species